UUUUUCUCUUUAACAACUUGAAAGCCAGGUCUGGGCAAUUCAGCCUCUUGGCCCCCGGAUAGGGCCAUAAACUGUUUGCAGGCUUCCGUAAGCUGUUUGUCUGCAUGCCACGGCCGGGGUGUGGAUGAUGCCUAGAACUCUCCUGGCUCAGCUUCCACGGUCCAUUUGCCUUCUGGUCUCCCCAGGGACCGAGACGUCCUCUCUGUGCCCACAGUGGCUGGACAGGUAGAGAGCUCCCCGCCCCUGAGGGUGUGCAAACCAGAGAUGCCACCGAUGGUUCGAGGGUCCUCGAGGGGGACCCUCCCUGCCAGUCUCAGCUCAAGCAUCUGCCAGGGGAAGGUGAGCAGGUACAGGCCACGCAGGCCCAGGAGGUGGCAGCCAGAUGCGACCCGCUGCUUUGCCUCGUCCUCCUUCCUCUGUCGUUACAGGGGGAUGUGGCCAGCUCCUACCUGGACCUCCCUCCUGUCUCCACCAGCUCACUCCGUCCCUCAGACACAAUGACCCAUGCCACUCAGGUUCCUGUCCAGAGACCCCGGGGCUGCUGGGUGACCGUGGCCAUCCAGCUCCUCCCCCCUCCCCCAUGCGGAACCACAGCCCACAAGCGAACUCGGGCCCCACAGAAUCAAUCCCGCGGUCCCCGGAUGUGGUCCCCUUGCUUACAAUGGGGUGAGUUGAGGGAGGGGACGGCCACCACACUGAUGGAUCGUCACGCACCAUGUGAACACAAGGCCUUUCCAGGUCACUCGACAUCUUCCGCCUGAGAGUGGGCCAGGGGCCCCCCUCAGGUCCCUGCAUGAUGGUCCGGGUGUCUUCACUUCCUUCUUCCCUGACUUCCUCUCUGGGCUGUAGCCCUGCUGAGCUCUCAUUUUUAUUUUAUUUUAUUUUAUUUUACUUUUUUGAGAGAGAGAGUGAGAGAGAGCGAGAGCAAGCAUGAAUGGGGGAGGGGCAGAGAGAGAGAGGGAGACACAGAAUCCGAAGCAAGCUCCAGGCUCUGAGCUGUCAGCACACAGCCCGACGCGGGGCUCGAACCCACAAACCGUGAGAUCAUGACCUGAGCCGAAGUCGGUCGCUUAACCCACUGAGCCCCAAGGCGCCCCUGAUUAUUGUCAUUAAUAAAAUGUGUCUGAAACAGCUACCCCUCCGAGUG
rnacentral:lncRNA from 1 species